UACGUAGGGUGCGAGCGUUGUCCGGAAUUAUUGGGCGUAAAGAGCUCGUAGGCGGUGUGUCACGUCGGCCGUGAAAACCCGCGGCUCAACUGCGGGCUUGCAGUCGAUACGGGCAGGCUAGAGUUCGGUAGGGGAGACUGGAAUUCCUGGUGUAGCGGUGAAAUGCGCAGAUAUCAGGGAGGGAACACCCGGGUGGCGAAAGGCGGGGUCUCUGGGGCCCGAUACUGACGCUGGAGGAGCGAAAAGCGUGGGGGAGCGAAACAGG
rnacentral:rRNA from 1 species